rnacentral:rRNA from 1 species
UGUGUGCCUUGGCCUCAGAGAGUUGAUUAUGGCUCAGGACGAACGCUGGCGGCGUGCUUAACACAUGCAAGUCGAACGAUGAAGCUCUUCGGGGGUGGAUUAGUGGCGAACGGGUGAGUAAUACGUGAGUAACCUGCCCCCUUCUUUGGGAUAAGCCUUGGAAACGGGGUCUAAUACUGGAUAUUCCUGGUCUGGCGCAUGUCGGGUUGGGGAAAGUUUUUUCGGUGGGGGAUGGGCUCGCGGCCUAUCAGCUUGUUGGUGGGGUGAUGGCCUACCAAGGCGUCGACGGGUAGCCGGCCUGAGAGGGUGACCGGUCACACUGGGACUGAGAUACGGCCCAGACUCCUACGGGAGGCAGCAGUGGGGGAUAUUGCACAAUGGGCGCAAGCCUGAUGCAGCCGACGCCGCGUGAGGGAUGACGGCUUUCGGGUUGUAAACCUCUUUCGACACGGAACAAGGCUCUGCUUUUGUGGGGUUGAGGGUACGUGUAUAAGAAGCGCCGGCUAACUACGUGCCAGCCGCGGC